rnacentral:piRNA from 1 species
UUCUUACCGAGCCUUUAAAGGAAGGAGUAGAA